AAUAGAUACCCUGGUAGUCCACGCCGUAAACGAUGAGUGCUAAGUGUUAGAGGGUUUCCGCCCUUUAGUGCUGCAGCUAACGCAUUAAGCACUCCGCCUGGGGAGUACGGCCGCAAGGCUGAAACUCAAAGGAAUUGACGGGGGCCCGCACAAGCGGUGGAGCAUGUGGUUUAAUUCGAAGCAACGCGAAGAACCUUACCAGGUCUUGACAUCCUCUGACAACCCUAGAGAUAGGGCUUUCUCCUUCGGGGGACAGAGUGACAGGUGGUGCAUGGUUGUCGUCAGCUCGUGUCGUGAGAUGUUGGGUUAAGUCCCGCAACGAGCGCAACCCUUGAUCUUAGUUGCCAGCAUUCAGUUGGGCACUCUAAGGUGACUGCCGGUGACAAACCGGAGGAAGGUGGGGAUGACGUCAAAUCAUCAUGCCCCUUAUGACCUGGGCUACACACGUGCUACAAUGGAUGGUACAAAGGGCUGCAAACCUGCGAAGGUAAGCGAAUCCCAUAAAGCCAUUCUCAGUUCGGAUUGC
rnacentral:rRNA from 1 species